AUGAAGAUUAUCUCCCGGAUCUUGACCACGCGGCUGCAAAAGUUUAUUGAGCUCCUGGUGUCCUUUGAACAAUCUGGUUUUAUUGCCGGGAGAUGCAUCACCGAUAACUUCCUGUAUGCUGCCGAUUUGGUUCAGAGCUGUAGUCUCCGCAAAACACCCACGAUCGCCUUGAAGUUGGAUUUCAAGAAGGCCUUUGAUUCAGUUAGUUGGGAAGGGCUAGAUCCGAUUAUGCAGGCACGUGGCUUUGGUGACCGUUGGCGCUCUUGGAUCCGAAAUAUCCUCGGCACCGGUAAGACUGCGGUGUUGCUGAAUGGAGUGCCCGGUAGAUGGAUUCAGUGUAAAAACGGGUUGCGCCAGGGGGACUCGUUGUCGCCUUUCCUCUUCUUGAUCGUUGCAGACCUUCUCCACAAGUUGAUUGUCAGGGAUGCAUCCCCGUCUAGGUUGCUACAUCCGCUUGUCGAUGAUUUGCCGUGUCCUGUUAUUCAAUAUGCAGACGACACUCUCAUAUUGGUCCAUGCUAAACAGGGGUAG
rnacentral:rRNA from 1 species